rnacentral:rRNA from 1 species
AGUGAACGCUGGCGGUAGGCCUAACACAUGCAAGUCGAGCGGCAGCACAGUAAGAGCUUGCUCUUACGGGUGGCGAGUGGCGGACGGGUGAGGAAUACAUCGGAAUCUACUUUUUCGUGGGGGAUAACGUAGGGAAACUUACGCUAAUACCUCAUACGACCUACGGGUGAAAGCAGGGGAUCUUCGGACCUUGCGCGAUUGAAUGAGCCGAUGUCGGAUUAGCUAGUUGGCGGGGUAAAGGCCCACCAAGGCGACGAUCCGUAGCUGGUCUGAGAGGAUGAUCAGCCACACUGGAACUGAGACACGGUCCAGACUCCUACGGGAGGCAGCAGUGGGGAAUAUUGGACAAUGGGCGCAAGCCUGAUCCAGCCAUACCGCGUGGGUGAAGAAGGCCUUCGGGUUGUAAAGCCCUUUUGUUGGGAAAGAAAAGCAGCAGGUUAAUACCCCGCUGUUCUGACGGUACCCAAAGAAUAAGCACCGGCUAACUUCGUG